AUAAUAGCUGUGAAAAGAAGAAGUAAUUUGGCCAAACCUCUUAAGAGAGUCUGCGGUUGCUGCGAGCAGAUGAGGUUACCUUUUGAAAUACAUCUUGGAGCUGCUGCUUUGAAUUUUUUAGUAGAAGCAGUCGGGUUGUGUACGUUAUAACACCGGGCAAAAUUUAGUUUUGUUCAUGAGGCUGUAACCGCAAGGUUAUGGUAAAUUGAGGUGGUACCACGAAUUUUUCGUCCUCUGU
rnacentral:ncRNA from 1 species